GUGGCCUGCCGGCCUUUUGGCCAAGAUCAUGUGUAGCAUCUGUUCUUAUCAGUUUAAUAUUCGAUACGCCCCCUCAUCUGGGGGUCCAUAUAUUAAAUUAUCUGGAAACAGGAGAUUGAAUAGGGCCGCCCGCCCACCCACCAUCUAAUUCCGGAGCUGCAGCACUUGCGAGUGUGAAUUCUCU